CUCUUUGGUUGCUACUUGUUUGGUGUUUUUCGUUGUGUUCGGUCGCGUCCUGUAAUGUAUGUUGUCUAAAAAAGAAAAUUUAAAUCGCUACUACUUGACUACUUGUUGGUACUUUAUUAGUGUGAAUUCUGAAUAUUGACAGAAAGAUGUACCUUUUUUAUUAAGUUCGUAGUUAGAACGCAUUUGUUUAGCAACCAUGUGAAAAGAUCCAGCAGUCGCAGUUGAUCAGGAAGACAGCUUUCUACGGAUUCUCACUUUCCGAAUUUCUACCACGAUUCUUCUUAAAUGAAGUACCUAUGUUUAAAAUGGGUAAAACAAGCAAAGUGGUUAUAUGUGGAAUGAAAGGCGUGGGAAAGACGGCCGUUUUGGAGCAAUUGAUAUAUGGGAAUGUGAAUCAGAAGUCAUGUUUUUACCCUACUAUUGAAGACAUCUACGUGGCAAACAUCGAGACCGACAGAGGAACGAAGGAGCGCGUUUGUUUUUACGACACGGCGGGCUUGGAGCCCCCGCUAUCAGGCGAGUUGAAAGCAGGACCACCACAGUCUCCAACAAUGCAACUGACUGCAAAUCAGGUGCUCCAGAGACACUACAUAGGAUUUGCUGAAGGUUUUGUGAUGGUAUAUGAUACUACACGGCCGGAGUCUCUCGAUGUUCUCAUGUAUUUGAAGAAGGACAUAGACAGAAAUAAGGAUAAGAAAGAGGUGGUGAUGAUGGUGUUAGGCAACCGCACCGGUCCGGAUGAUCUCAAUAGCCUGGAAAACACGUGCUCGAAGGCGGCCAAUUGGUGCGCGCGAGAGAAGGUGCGCCAUUUUGAAGUAACCGCCAUGGACCGCGCCUCGCUCUAUGAGCCAUUCAUCUUCAUGACUUCGAAACUUAACCCAGUGCAGAAUAAGACUGCCUUCCCUCAGCUAAGUACCCUCAGCAAACUUACUCAGAAGAACAAUAGGAGUGACGCCAUGUAACGGUGCGUUUUCAAUCUAUGCCCUUUCUGCUACCAGCCGUGAUUGGCCGAUUUCAAUAGUGCGAACGGAAGCGAUGCUGCGUUUAGUAUUCUGAAUUCAAACCACCUAUUACAGGCUUUUGAUGUUCCAAAUUUAAAAUAGUUGAACAAAAUGUCGGAGGUGUUUUGUUUCUUUUUGAUGAGAAGUGUAUGUAUGUAUUACAAUAAUGGGCUUAUCUCUCUAAAAGACAUCUAUCCCAGCAAACCUAACGUAGCUAUCAGCGACAGUAUCCAUAGUGUAGCAAGUCCAUUCCAUUAUGAAAUCUGAUAAAAUCGGAAGUAACGCAAACUUGUAGUAACAAUCAUCGGUUUCCGUUGGCGCGACUAUGAAACGGCCAGUUUUAAUAAAUGCUCAAGGAAUGUCUUCGUGUCGUUCCAUCUAAGCCAUUCUAUAAUAUUUUAGUUCACAUAAGAACUCAUUAAACUACCUGUUGGGCCCAAUGCAUGCAUGAGUGUAGGUAUAAAAUGUAUGGCGAAAUCGUGGCCCCGCCCACCGAUGAGCUUUCACUGCCCGAUCCCGACAUAUCGAACCUGGGGUCUGUUUAAUAAAACUUACAAUUGUAAAUUACAAUGACAAUUUGAUGUACAUUGCGGAGUGUGUGAUCACGAAUAUUUUGCAGUUUCAUAUUAUAGUAAGUUUUAUUAAACAGGCCCCUGAUGGUGAAUGUAAUAAGCCCUUUAACACGUUCACUGUGUAUGAACCGCAUAGGUAAUAUGAGGCAAUAAAUUUGAAACUCGAUAUGUGCAUGUCCUUAUGUGGGGCACAUUUUUCUCUUGCCAUAGUGUGGCUAUAUACAUAAAUUCCAUUGUGUUUAUCGAAAAAUAACAUUGCACGUGAGGGGUUGAUAUCUAAUUUUCAGUUACACACUGAACGUGUUAAGCGACAAGGUGUGGCGGCCAGGCAGUUAUAAAUACAUAGUAAGCGGUUAUUAGACUACCGAAUCCCUCUAGCCCGAUGCGUCAAGGUUACAAACCAGCACAUCGAGAUCGGGAUACCUAUUAACCGCGUCAUUAGUUAUUAUUUGUAGAUAAAAAAUGCGCUUUAACACGUACUUAUCAUACUAGUUAUUUAUGUAAGAUAUCUGAAAUCUCAUUAGUUUUAUUUUAAAGCCAGGCCAACGGCUUAGCGUGCCUUUCUAAUCAAGGUACCAGUCCUAACCAAACUAGGGGCAGUCACAUAAAGUAAUAAUUGACUGUGCCCUCUCUGGGAAUCGAACCGAGGGCUUGAAGAUUGAGAGAGCUCUGAUUAUUAGACCACGAAAUUCAUCAAAUAAAUGUAGUACCUAUAAAUUCAUUGAAUAUUCAUCUCAUCAAAUGAAAUGGUUUGGGCAUAGAUUAAACAAAUUGAAUCUAAUCUCUACCACUAGUGUUUUAUUAUAUUAAUUUAUUAUAAAUGUACUUAAUAUGCUUGCUAGUUAACAAAAUUUUAUACCUAUUUGUAUAUUAAGGUCGAUCAAUAAAUCAAUACACAGACGUGAUACCGGAAGCGUUUCGGCCGGAUUCUUUAAGUAUUUUCGAAAUUUAAACUGUCUAAAAUGUAAGGUAUUUUAUCGUUCCCAAAGUUGUCUGAGCUACGACUCAUCUAUUACAUUUAAGAACUCGGGACCCACCUCUAGGAAAAUUAAAUCUUCAAAUAAUACGGUCGCACGGUUAUCGGCCUUGACAGGGCCCAUUCGAUAUUCCCUCGCGGCCCACCAGUGGCUCACUACCUGUAGUUUGAGAAACCCUGCCCUACACCAAAUUCGGUUUAGGUAUUAAGUUAGGAAGCUCUAAAAAUUACCAAUUUCCGCCCCUGAACGCUCCCAGUACCGUCUCAGUGUGUGAAGACUAAUUUAUUAUAUUUCGAAUAGGAAGUUAUAAAAUCUAGAAAGAAAUAAUAUUUAUAUGUAAGUAGCAAAUCAACAAAAUAUAUGAAUAAGAAUAAAAUAAUUUUAUUGCCAGUAACAAUUCUGUACCGUCGGUGAAAAGUAAUACAACUCGAGUUGUAUCACUUUUGAGUUAUUAGCACACACUUCAUGUUCAAAAAAUUCUCUUUCUUUCUGUCUAAUUCUCGUAACUGUAGCUAUUAUAAAUACGGAGAUAAUUUUUGUGUUCAGUGAUAUAAGUAUUGUUUGUGAAGGAUUCAUGCUGUUAUAACACGUGUAACAUAAUUCAUCUUAACUUGCAUUAAAGUGAAAUGAAGAUUUUCAUUAAAUAUUUUGGUGUCCUACUGGGAUCCAGCUCGGCAUCGGCAGCAUCGGGAUCUGCCACAUCUUCUCAAGAGAAGAUUACCAGUUUCUCAAACACGUUGAAUGGUGUAAAUUUCUCGAGCUUCCUCAUUUUUAUAAAGGGAAUAAC
rnacentral:misc_RNA from 1 species